CUUCACUUCUCCCUCCUGCAACUGCAAAGCUCCUUGAUCCACCCUCGAUCACUCACUCCACCACCGCGGCCGCAGCGCGCGCGCACCGCGCAAACAACCAACUCGGCAGCGACAGCAAUGGCGGAUCGCGACCGCAGCGGCAUCUACGGCGGCACCUACGGGCAGCAUCAGCAGGGGGGCGGCCGCCCGAUGGGUGAGCAGGUGAAGGGCAUGAUCCAGGACAAGGGUCCCACGGCGUCGCAGGCGCUGACGGUGGCGACGCUGUUCCCGCUGGGCGGGCUGCUGCUGGUGCUGUCGGGCCUGGCGCUGGCGGCCUCCGUGGUGGGGCUGGCGCUGGCCACGCCCGUGUUCCUGCUCUUCAGCCCCGUGCUCGUCCCGGCCGCGCUGCUCAUCGGGACGGCCGUGACGGGGUUCCUCACGUCGGGCGCGCUGGGGCUCGGGGGACUCUCCUCGCUCACGUGCCUCGCCAACACGGCGCGGCAGGCGUUCCAGCGCACCCCGGA
rnacentral:lncRNA from 1 species